rfam:Firmicutes bacterium CAG:466 genomic scaffold, scf117
GCGGAUGUGGCGGAAUUGGCAGACGCGCUAGAUUCAGGUUCUAGUGGACAUUACGUCCGUGCAGGUUCAAGUCCUGUCAUCCGCA